UACGAAGGGUCCAAGCGUUAUCCGGAUUUAUUGGGUUUAAAGGGUGCGUAGGCGGCUUUUUAAGUCAGUGGUGAAAGCUCCAUGCUUAACAUGGAAAUUGCCAUUGAUACUGAAGAGCUUGAGUACAUUUGAAGUGGGCGGAGUAUGUCAUGUAGAGGUGAAAUUCUUAGAGAUGACAUGGAACACCGAUUGCGAAGGCAGCUCACUAAACUGUAACUGACGCUGAGGCACGAAAGCGUGGGGAUCACACAGG
rnacentral:rRNA from 1 species